GUCUCUGUAGCGCAAUAGAUAGCGCGUUGGACUUCUAAUCCAAAGGUAGUCGGUUCUAAACUUACCUGGGAUG